GUUGGAAUCAUCGGGACUCCAUCCAGCCAUAAUUUCUUCAUCAUAAAUAUAUCUUUCACAUUGCUUACAUUGAUUACAGCUACAGAUCAACGCUUCGAAUGACACGUCACGAGGGACCAUACCACAAUGGCUUCGCCAGUCAACAUAGUCGAUACCCGAAGUUGUAUUCUAGGAAACAAAAUCACUAAAAUUCUAAAACUUGACCCACCCAGCUUCCUCCGCAGGCAACGCCUUUAGAUUGGCGGGCAGAAUUUGAUUGCGGGCAAAAAAGAGCUUUGAUUUCUCAGCGAGAUUUUACUCCACGCCCAACAAAAAAGUAAGGCAAAUAGCUAAG